CUCACGCGUCAAAGUUUGGUUUUUUUGGAAAAAUUUUUCGCCGGUUUUUUUAUUUUUUUUUUUAUUUGGGCGAAUGAGUGCUCGGUUCGUUCUGGAUGGCUGAUCGGCGUCGCACGAGAUGAUGCACCGAGGCCAGUGCGGACUUUGAAUACCCAUUGGGAUAUCUAUGAGCUUUGACUAGUCGUAUGCCGAGUAGAAGAGGAGGUUGCUUUCGUUAAAAAAAAAAGGAAGGACUGAGGAUCCCGACCAACAGAUUCUCGAAAAAAAAAAAAAA